AUGAUAAUGUAUUAAGGUAACAUUAUUAUUAAACCAUCAAAUGUAAAUUCAGUUGAUCGUCCACAAUUCUGGUUAAAAUGCUUGUUAAUGCAUUGGUUUUCCCAAUGAUAAUCCCUUUAAAUCAGUAUCACAAUGAUUGUUACAUUUUUUAUUUGAGUAGUAUUUGUUAAUUUGAAGUUCUGCUGUUUCAUUUCACAUAUUGGUGAAGGUCUAAAUUAGGGUAUUGUCUUGAUCUUGGAUGCUGAAAUCUUGUUUACGUAUAAAAAAAUACUUGGAAAGAUGAAUGAUAAUUGCGAAGAUGCGAUUUUCGGUAUAGUCAUUUUAGAAAUGAUAUUGUGCCAAAUAUACUAAUAAAUAAGGUUGAUGACUGUAAUGGAAUGGAAAAAAGAUGGUUCGUUAUCAGGAGUUAGCGAAGAAUGUAAGGUCCGUCAUUCAUGUACUAGUACAGAUUUUUAGGAAUGAAGUUACUGCAAAUAUCGCUAUUCACGAGGUCGCUUAUGAAACGAAAAAGGAGUUUCCUGUAGUGAUUGUUGGCAGUUGGAGAGGCGUUCGAAAUUUUCCUUUUACUUAAAUUUUCUUGUGUUUACAAUAGAAAAAAUAGUCCUUGUGAUGUGUUUUGUAGUCUUUGUUUUCUGAAGCCAUGUUUCCCCGUUACUUGUGAUAACUCCGUAGGCAGUUGUGAUGUUUUGUCAUUAACGUAUCUCAGAAUUAUCAAUAAAACAUUUUGAAUAAUA